GGAAGCAGGAAAUUAUCGGGAGGAAACACAAGUUCUGGGUCUUAACAGAUGUCACAUUUUUUGACCUGACCACCAGGAAAACGAAGCCACAAAACGCGGCUGCGAGUCGCCCAGCGCGGCAGACUCGGGGGUGGAAGGGGAUGAAUUUUUUUUUUGCAAAGCGUGUUCUGCAACUUUCGCGGGGGGCGCGCUCGGGUAGGUGGAGCCCCCAGGGAAGGGGCACCCGGGGAGCGGGGCCGGCCGGUGCGAACGUACCCACGACCGUGAGCAGCAUGUUGUCCAGCAGCAGCGCGAGGAACACGAUGAACAGGAUGAGCUUCCGCGAACACAGGAGGGCACACCGACUCCGGCCCAGCUGGCUGGAGUCAUCUGGAACCGGGGAAAAUGCUACUGUGUUUCCUCCCUUCGAUCUCAGCCACCCCACCUGCAACACCAAGGCGCACAACAGGGUCUCCAAACUUUUGUGCAUACCCACGAAAGAAUCCUCUAAAAAUAUGUAUGCCCCACCACAUAUCUGAGUUGGAAUCUAAAAUGUUUUUUUUUAAUAAAUUUAAAUGGUUUGGGUUA